rnacentral:rRNA from 1 species
UACGUAGGGGGCAAGCGUUGUCCGGAAUCAUUGGGCGUAAAGCGCGUGUAGGCGGCCUUGUAAGUCCGUUCUGAAAGCCCGGGGCUCAACCCCGGGAGGCGGAUGGAUACUGCAAGGCUCGAGUACGGAAGAGGCGAGUGGAAUUCCCGGUGUAGCGGUGAAAUGCGCAGAUAUCGGGAGGAACACCAAUGGCGAAGGCAGCUCGCUGGGACGUUACUGACGCUGAGACGCGAAAGCGUUGGGAGCAAACAGG